CUCUGCUUAGGUGUUGAAAAGUCUCCUCUAGAGCUUUGGAAGGCUGAAUGCACUAAACAUGAAGAGCUUGAAAGCGAAGUUCAGGAAGAGUGACACCAAUGAGUGGAACAAGAAUGAUGACCGGCUACUGCAGGCCGUGGAGAAUGGAGAUGUGGAGAAGGUGGCCUCACUGCUCGGCAAGAAGGGGGCCAGUGCCACCAAACACGACAGUGAGGGCAAGACCGC
rnacentral:sRNA from 1 species